rnacentral:lncRNA from 1 species
AAAAAAGUUGUAUCUGUUUUUAAAAAUACUUAAAAAUAAACCUUUCUCGUUUCAGAUAUUCACUUAAACAGUACAAAGAAACUUUUAAAAUAAUUAAUGCUAGUUUGAAGGUUUGCAACCUAGGGAUUGAAGAAAAACACUACUCCCUAAAUUUUUAAAUUUAAAAUAGAGAUAACUGGUAUGAUUCUGAAUUAGUUGAGAAUUAUUUUUCUGAAGGGAUCUUACUGUGUUGCACAAGCUACUCAAGCCACAGAACCUGUCUUGAAACUUUUAACACUAUUUUUUUGGGGGGAAAGGAGGCAUGGAACCAGGGCCUCACACAGGUAAGCAUGUGCCUUACCACUGAGCUACAUCCCCAGACCCCUGAGUUUAACAUUUACAACUAGCUAAGUAGCUGAUGGAAAUGACUGAUGAAGAAAUGAACAACCAAUAUAUUGGUAAAACUAGAAAGUCCAUCCACAAUCACAAGAACUUGCUUUUCAAGUGUUCCUCCUUUCCUUGCAGUCUUUGUUCAUAUGCAUAUGAACUAUGUACACACAUAAAUCAUAGUGAAGGUUUGAUUUUGCUUUAUAUAUUAUACAUGUUGCUUUAUCAUUGUUAAUGUUUGACUAAUAGCCCAUAAUUAGCUAUUUAAUAAGUACUCAUCUCCCAGUAUUGGAAAUUCUAAGGUUUCACAGUUUUUCACAAAACAUUUUAUGCCAAUAGUUUCUUUUUCCUUUUUUUUUGGUACCAAGGAUUGAACCCAGGGGAUCUUUACCACUGAGUCAUGUCCUCAUCCAUUUUUAGUUUUUAUUUUAGGACAGGGUCUCACUGAGUUGUUGAGAUUUGAAUUUGCAAUCCUCUGUGCCUCAGCCUCCGGAGUUGCUGGGAUUACAGGCAUGUGCCACCACAUCGGGCAGUUUUUUCCUUCUUGGUAAUAAUUAUGUUAAAUUUUAAGUGGUCACUAAAAAAAUAAAUAAAUAAAAUUAUUUGGUUCCAAGUACAUGAUUGUGACAAUGCUAAUUUACACCAGCACACCAUCUGUGUUAGCUUUUCAUCAUGAUAUGGUACAUGAUUUCAUUCUCAUAAAUGGAGACUCUUUCUUAAAUUUUGGUUAGAAUUAAUUGGUAUCAUAACUAGCACUUCUUCCAAUUUUGUUUCUCCAUGGUGAUACCAAACUAAAUCAUUUAGAAGGAUGAGAUUUGUUGUAAUUCUGACUGUUAUAUGUAAGGGAACAUGC